ACUAAUAAAACAGAGAAGAGAUGGGCACGGUAGUAAGGAAUGAGAGAGUGAAAAUCACCGUCCAAAGAUUUCUCCAAACCUUUUUUUAUUAAAUAAAUUUCGCAAGAUAAUGAAGGCCACGUGGUGGCAAGCAGGUAAGGUCCAUGUCGGAUUAACGGGCAACACGGUCAGCCACAAAAACCUGCCCAAGGAAUCCACAUCGACAACAAUCCUCAUCAGCCCAUCACCACCAUACACAUUCAUGAAAAAUUCGAACUUGUUCAUAUUUUCCCCAAAGCCAUGAGCAGCUUCACUAACACCACCACAACCUUCCUCCAAUCCCACAUCGUCGCCAACCCCCAAAAUUUCCGUCACAAAGUCUCACUUCCCGGUAAUCAGAGCCUCAUUUCCAGGAGAAGACGAUCAAGAAAAUAACGCUGCGAGUCGAAGAAAAAUGGUGACAACUGAUCGUGUAAAAGUCACUACUUAAAUUUGAUGUGUAUUACCUAGCAUUCGUGUCGUGUUUUCCGUGUUCGUGUCGUUUUCGUGUCAUAUCCGAUGUUUUAACGGGUUGUGUCGUGUAACAUCCGUUAAAAUAAAUGGGUAAAAUGACCCGACUUAAAAUCGACCCGAUAAUAUUAAUAGGUAAUUUGACCCGACCUCUUACCCGUUAAGGAAAAUAUAUUUUAAACCAAUAAAUAAUCAAAUGAAAAACAUAAUACUAAAUAAGUAUAUACAUACUAUAUUGUUACAUCCAAAACAUAAAAACGCAUUUUUCUUUUAAGUAUAUUUUCACUUACCUAAAGUCUUUAAUAGUUUUUUAAUUAAUGUAGAAAUGUAAAAAAUAUAAAAAUAAUAUAUAAAUGUUCGUAAUGACAAGCUUUACAACUUUCAUGAAAAGCUUAACUUCAAAAUUCGCUACUAUAAUCAUAUAAAUCAUAGAUCAAAAUUUAACCGUUGAUUGUUGUUUACAUUUAUGCUUCAUUGUUCUCAUCAAAUUUUGAACGGUUUGGAUCGUUGAUAUUAUAUUCAGAGUUUUACGGUUAGUGAAAAUAUUGCUUGAUUUUAUAAAGUUUCUACAAACUAUAUGACAUUGACUUAUAUUUCAGUUAACCGUAAAUAUCGAAACGUGAUAUCAAAGAUUUGAACCAUUCAUUUUCUUACAUUUGCCAGAUGAUCAUGUUUUCAAAAAAGAAAAUUUUAAAAAUGAAAUUCAGUAAGAAGAAUAAAGCGUAAAUGACAAUUGACGGUUAAAUAUAAAUUUAAGGUUUAUGAAUUAUAGUGUUGAAUUUCAAAGCUGACCUCUUCAUGAAAGUUGUAAAGUUUGUCACUAUGAGUGAUUGUAUAUUUUUUUUACAUUUUUUACACUUCUACAAUAAUUAUUAUUAAUUUUGCCCUCAAAUAAAAAAACAUUAUUCACGAAGGUUUGGAGGAUUUUAAAAAUCUAAACGAUAAUGCAAGUGUAACCAUUAUCUAAUCGUGGAGGAAUAAUGAUGAAUCACGAGUGUUUAUAUAUUCUUUCACAUUUUUCAUUUGUGUAUGUAUGUCUUUUUAGUUAUUGCCUAUACAAAUACUAUAUUAGUUCAUUUUAAUUUUGAACAACAACAUGUUAAGUAAAAUUUAUUAUAGUAAUGAUAAUAAGAAACUCUCAUAAUAAAAAUAAAUAAUGACAAAAACUUUUUUUUUUAAACUUAUAUAGAAUAAUAAUACAAAACUAUAUAUUCAAUAUAGAAUAUUUUGUAUAUAUUAAUAUGGCUAUUGUAUUUUAUAAUAAAUCUUUUAGUAAUUAAACUUUAAAAUUAUCAAAAUAAUUUUUUUCUUAAUGAGUUGAAACGGGUUAUUCACGUGUUACCUGCGUGUAUACCCAUUAAGAACCCGUUAUUAACGGGUCACCCGAUAAUGAUCCGAUAAGUUAUCGUGUUGAUCUAAAACCCGUUAUUUUCGUGUCGUGUCAGAAACUGCCAGGUUACGCAUAUAUAGUGUAAAAGUCACUACUUAAAUUUUUCUUCUAAUUUUGACCGAUUACCAAGAAAUUUUAAAAUAUAACUGAUCGUGUCACCUUAAUGCUUCAACCUACACACAAAUACAUCUCACCAUCCUUUGCAUUACGGCCCGAGCCUCUCCAAAUUUUUGGUCGUGUGUUUUAACCAAACAACCACGUGGUCUGACCACCGGACCAAAGAACUUCUCCUCUUUUAUUAAUAAAACAAAGAAGAGACGAGUGUGGUAGUAGGGAAUGAGAGAGUGAAAACCACCGUAUAAAGAUUUCUCCAAACCUUUUCUUAUUAAAUAAAUUUCGCAAGAUAAUGAAGGCCACGUGGCGGCAAGCAGGUAAGGUCCAUGUCGGAUUAACGGGCAACACGGUCAGCCACAAAAACCUGCCCAAGGAAUCCACAUCGACAACAAUCCUCAUCAGCCCAUCACCACCAUACACAUUCAUGAGAAAAUCGAACUUGUUCAUAUUUUCCCCGAAGCCAUGAGCAGCCUCACUAACACCACCACAACCUUCCUCCAAUCCCACAUCGUCGCCAAACCCCAAAAUUUCCGUCACAAAAUCUCACUCCCGGUAAUCAGAGCCUCAUUUCCAGGAGAAAACGAUCAAGAAAAUAACGCCGCGAGUCGAAGAAAAAUUGUGACAACAUUCUUGGCCACU
rnacentral:lncRNA from 1 species